AAAGCACGCAGGGCAGCCAACA
rnacentral:misc_RNA from 1 species